GACGAACGCUGGCGGCGUGCUUAACACAUGCAAGUCGAACGGCGUGGCGAACGGGUGAGUAACACGUGGGUGACCUGCCCUGCACUUCGGGAUAAGCCUGGGAAACUGGGUCUAAUACCGGAGAGUGUGGGAUGGGCCCGCGGCCUAUCAGCUUGUUGGUGGGGUAAUGGCAUACCAAGGCGGCGACGGGUAGCCGGCCUGAGAGGGUGGACGGCCACAUGAGGACUGCGACACGGCGCCGAGGCCUACGGGGGGCAGCGGUGGGGAGUAUUGCACAAUGGUCGGAAGCGUGAUGAAGCGGCGCCGCGUGGGGAAUGACGGGCUUCGGGUUGUGAACUCCUUUCACCAUAGACGCGGUAGAGGGAGAAGAAGCACCGGCUAACUACGUGCCAGCAGCCGCGGUAAUAC
rnacentral:rRNA from 1 species